CCGGCGGCGGAGUUGGGGUCCGCUCCGCCGGCGGCGGCUCCGCUGCUUCCCCGGCCGCGCCUUCCCCCCGCCCCGGCCUCUGCCGCAGAGGCACGGCCUCCUCCCACCGGCCCCCGCCCGCCGGACGCCCCGCCGGCCCCGCCGCCAGCUCCCGCCCCGCCGCGGCCCCCACGGACGCUGCUGCUGCCGCCAGCAGUCGCCGAGCAGGCCGCCCGCCCGCCGCGGCAGCAAAGCCCGGUGUCUGGUUCACCCUGGGAAACCUCCCCGAGGGGAGCAGAGCCGUCCGACCCCAGCGUCCCAUCUCCCGAGAGGCAGAACGCUUUUCGUCCCUUUCUCCUAGUUGCUGCCGGUCCGCUGUUAGUCCGGGAAUCAUCUCGCUUUCCUUCGCGAUGUUUUUCUCAUCCGACACGCGUUAAUCUACUUCGGUAACCUCUUCCCCACCUUCAGCCAACCUCCUCGCUGUUACAAGCAUGUGAACGCAAGACUUCCUAUUUAAGCUAAAAGUGCUGUUAAGUUGAGAAUACAAAUGGGUAGAUACUCACUGGAGAGUAAUUGUCUGAGGAGACUUCAUGCACUCCAGCAAGGUCAGGACUCUAUCUCAUUUCAUGCACAGAAGAAAUAAGGAAAGUGAUACAAACUGCCAAGGAGCAUUGCUGUUUCGCUGGCCGGGGCUUCUGCUUUCUGUGCAGGGAACACUGUGGCACCACAAGCGAGAGACUGAGCUUCUGCAUGAGCUCUGCUCUUUCUCACCAUGGCUUCCCACACAGCUUAGAUGAACUUGACCUCUAAGGAACUGAUAUUUACAGUUGCACAUAAGAUCUUUUUAAAACAAGAUACCCUUUUAGUGCUUAACUAAACCACAGUAUUUAGGGUCCAUUAUGUUAGAAUGGAACAACAAAGCUGCUGUGGCUGUUCGUGAUGUGCCUGUUUGUCUCUUUGGCCUGGAAAUGUUCAGUUUCAGUGACAGGAUGGAACUGGCAAUGCACAAUAAAGCUCCUCUCCCAGCUACCUCAGGUUUUUGCUUCAGAUUCUAUUUGUGAUCAUUUUACACAUUGAGUCUUGUUUGACCGAAGUCAUCAAGAGUUAAUGUCAGCUCAUUAAUUUCUGACCGAGUCUCCAAGGUAACCAGGUUCAUGUCCUAACAGUUCUUGAUAUUUUUUCUUACAACCCAAAAUUUUAGUCCUGUAUUUCAGAGAAAUAAAUAAUUUUCUAACUUAGAGUAGGUCACAAUACAAGUAUGACAAUUAAAACCAUACACAUUUCCUAUUUUUCCUCAUUAUCUGAGCCAUGUUUGUUGACCUAAGAGAAUACAAUAUAUCUAUUUUAUUCUCACUGGCUUUGUUGGAAAAAGUGAACAGAUCUUCAGGCAUAUAGAUCCUUCUGCAAGUCUGAAAAAGCAGCAGCAAACUUUACAAAAGAGAGUUGCUCUUUGUUUAAACAAAUUACACUAAUUCCUUGGACAAUUUGGAAGAAAAAAGUGUAGCAGCAUUUUCAGAAGACAGCUGUAUUUGCAUGGGGAGAGAAUGACAGAUCAUAAACCCCCAGGAAACAGAGAUAAAUGGAGCAAAGAAGUGGGACGAGAUUUGAUUGCACAUUAAGAUCAAAGUUUUUACUAAGCUAUUGCCCUACUGUUAUCUUUAAACCAUAAUGGUCCUCACAUUCAUAGGCCACCCUGAUUUCACCAUGCUGCUGCUAGUAUUUUGUUACCAGGACCCUUUCAUAAAAUUAUUUGCAAUUAUGUCAUAUCUGAAAGCCAAGGCUGUGAGUGAAGACUAAAUAUAUUCAUUGCCAGUUUGUAUCCAUUUCUUUUUGGCCAACACUGUCCUUUAAC